ensembl:lncRNA
AAAACUCAUGUGCAAGAUGGUAAAGAUUACAUAAAAGGAUGUCCACUAUGGCACUCUUCGCAAUUACUAGGAAAAUGAACCAAGUGUCCACUGAUGGGAGUCUGAUUAAUUAUAUUAUAUAUAUAUCUGCUACACAAUAAAAUGACACAACAAAGGAGCUUAUAGCCAUCAAAAAGACAGAAGUGGAGUUAUUGACCAGGAGCAGUAUGUUUGAGAAAUAUCUGGUGAAAUAGCCAUGAGAAAAUUUUCAAUGACAUUCACGGCUUGCCAUCUAUUUCCAUCGGACAGCACUUGUCCACACUCUUAUACUACAUUAUACUGUCUCUUCAUCCGGUAGCAAAGCCCUUCCUUGCUAAUGGUUGCAUUUUGCAUAGAACUAUUAGCAACAUGAAUGGACUGUCAGCAUGAAUGGUGUGGUGAAGAAUGUGGAAAGGAACAAAAGAAGAGAAACAGAGAUGUCAUCUGAAAUUAUCAGCAGCAAAAUCCUGAAGCAGCGAGAAAGGUUAGCUAUUGUUUUCGACAUGUAGAGCUCUGUGGUGCUAUUCAUUGUUUAGAAUGCCUCCUCAUUUCUAGACUCUGUCCUGGCUCAAGCCUUUGAUGGGCAGACAACAGCAACCAAUGGACAUCUUCCUUGUUCCCCUCUAGACAAGAGAUGAAAAACAAUCCUUCUUGAUGAUUUACAUUGAGGCCCAUCAACAUAAUACUUCCCUCUAUGCAACAAUUUUGUUUAUUCAUGGAUUUGUCCUUUUAUUCCUAAGUCAGAUAAGAUCCUUGCCCUUGAUGGUUUGAGGAAAUAGGGGCUCUUUCUCCUUUUUGCAGACUCUAGGGGACAAAGAACAUGGGGCCAUGGGACACAGGAGGAAUGGGAAGAAACAAGAAGAGAGGGAAUCUGUGUGAAAAGGAGGGGGCCAUAGUGGUAAUGGCCCAAGGCACAGAAGGGGGCAAACUGUCCUUGUUCUCUGUCCAGCAGCUACAGCCCCCCAUCGCAGUAUGAGCUUUGCUCCUCACUGCCCAUGCUCCUCAUUACUCUGACUUAGAAGCCUCUUUCAGGAUUUGAGUUGUAGUCGUUUUCAUCUGAGCCUGCAAAGGGGCAGAGUAAUUAGCCAGGUUAAUCAUACCAGAAUAGAAGAGAGAAGGGCCAUGAACAAAGUGGAUCCUGAUCACUCCAGAAGACUUUCUUUUUAACAACUAAAGAAGACCAGCCCAGUGGCACAGCGGUUAAGUUUGCACAUUCCACUUAGGCGGCCUGGGGUUCGCCAGUUUGGAUCCCCAGUGCGGACACAGCACGGCUUGUCAAGCCAUGCUGUGGCAGGUGUGCCACAUAUAAAAUAGAGGAAGAUGGGCACAGAUGUUAGCUCAGGGCCAAUCUUCCUCAGCAAAAAUGAGGAGGAUUGGCAGAUGUUGGCUCAGGACUAAUCUUCCUUAAAAAAAAAAAAAAAACUAAAGAAAUGUUUCAGAGCCACAAGACGAAACGGUGAUGCCUGAAGACUCAGUAAAAUCUGAGAUGUGAACGUUGAAUCCUGGGCUUGGGAUUCUUUGGCUCUGGACAGGAUACUCCAAGGGACACAGUACUGGGCAGUCCAAUCGAUCCCCUAAGAACAUCAUGCCCCAGGCUAAAGUUCCUGAAGACAUACCUUAAGGGUUUAUUUUUCCUUUUGCCUCAUCAAGCCCUGUGGGUUGUCUCAGCAGGCAAUGAAUGUAAGGACAGAUCUGCUUUAAGAAAACGAAAAUUAGAAAACACUCCCAACAUAAUGGAAACAGUAAAUAGCACACAUAACAGUGUAAACAACAUUAGCCUGAUUUUGUUUUUAAAUUUGUAUAUAUAUUUUCCUGAGUCUUCAAAUAUCAUCCACUAGAAUGUAAGCUCCAUGAGGACAAAGCUUUUGGUCUCUUUUGCUUGUUGCUGUAGUACCAUCACCAAGAAAAGUGUCUGCCCAUAGCAGAUACUCAAAAAAUAUUUGUUGGAUGAAUGAAUAUGCACCCACACUUAUAAAAUUGAAAAGAAAUGCCUCAAAAUAUUGAUGAAGGUUAUCUCUAGGUAGAGGGAUUGUGGAAGAAUUACACUUUUUUCUUUAUAAUAUUCUGCAUUUUCCAAUUUUUAAAACGACUAUGAGUUAUUUACAAUUGGGACAAAAUAAACAUUACUUUAAAAAGACUUUUGGAGGUGGUCAGCCCUGUGGCUGACUGGUUAAAUUUGUGUGUUCUGCUUCAGCAGCCUGUGGCUCAGAUCCUGGGUGUGGACCUAGCACCGCUCAUCAGGCCAUGCUGAGGUGGCAUCCCACAUAGCACAACCAGAAGGACCUACAACUAGAAUAUACAACCAUGUCCUGGGGGGCUUCAGGGAGAAGAAGAAGAAGAAGAAGAAGAAGAAGAAAAAGGAAGAUUGGCAACAGAUGUUAGCUCAGGAUGCCACCACAGCAUGGCUUGAUGAGUGGUGCUGGGUCUGCACCCAGGAUCUGAACCUGUGAACCCAGGGCCACUGAAGCGGAGUGAGCGAACUUAACCACUACAUCACCGGGCCAGCCUCUAGAUGACAGCUUUUCUAAGGCAUAUUGUUGUGAUGAAAAUAAUGUAGAUAUUUCCUUCUUGCUACAUGUCCUAGAGUGCUGAGAUAUGCAGGCCAAAUUAGAAGACAUUCUGCACGGAGGCUGCUUUUAAACUCAGGAUCUACUAUGUGUCGGGCACUGUGGACACAUAAGGCUGAGGGUGAUGAGCCAUUGCCCUCAAAGCAGGUCUGGGAACCUGCUAUAAAGCUUUACAGAAAUCCUUGCAAUUGUGUUGUGUUUUUGAUUUUACAUUAAUUAUCACGAUAAGGUGCAUAGAGAAUUUCUGAGGAAUCAGGGCACGUGUUAUUAUUCCCACUUUACAGGGGAGGUUGUGUUGCUGAGAAACUGAGCUGCUCUCUUAGGGUCAAGCUGUUAGAAAGUGUAGAUCCACACACACCCAGGUCUUCACAUCCACCUGGGCUGUCAGCUUCCAAAGAGCCACAAGGAGCCUCCGCCCAGGUCUCGGGAAGGAGUUCUAACUAGACGUUUGUGCUUUUCUAGCCACAUGUGUUUAUUUAAAUUUAAAUUAAUUAAAAUUAAUUGACAAACAUUCAUCUCUUAAAUUGUGCUAGCCACAUUUCAAGUGCUCAGGAGCCACAUGUAGUUAGUAGCCACUGAAUUGCACAGCAUAGAAUAGGACAUUUACAUAACCCCAGAGACUUCUACUGGAUAGCACUGUUAUACAUUCAUUUAAAUUGGUUUUUAUUAACAGCUAACAAUCAGUAUGCAUUGAACAAUUAUGAUAUGUAAACCCUCAUUUCUACCUCAUAACAACCACUAGAGGAAGGCUCUGUUAUUAUCUCUGCUUUCAGAUGAGGGAACUCGGGCCAGAGGGAUUAAGCAACUCACCCCAGAUCAUAUAUGUAGUGAGGAGGUAUAGUUGGGACGUGAACUCAGCCAGUCUCGCACGAGAGUUGGUGUACUUUGCCACUGCCCAUCAUUCUC